AUAAAUAUUUAAUUUGUUUUCCUGUUUGUUCUUCAUCAAAUUUGGGAAGGAACAGUUUUCUUGUACGAUUCCUCAAAAAAUAAGGAAUGAUUAGGAAUAGUGUAGGGUCCACAUGUUACAAUUUGGGAAAAAAAUUCCUGCUGAAUGGUGAAAAAGAAGAGGAACAUGUUAUUCCUACCCAUUCAUUUUCUAAAAAGUGGUCACCAAUGGGACUCACAGUUUUUUUUUU
rnacentral:sRNA from 1 species